UACGGAGGAGGCAAGCGUUAUCCGGAAUUAUUGGGCGUAAAGCGUCCGUAGAUGGUUUUGUCAGUCUGCUGUCAAAGCACAGGGCUUAACCCUGUAAAGGCAGUGGAAACUACAAGACUAGAGUGCAGUAGGGGCAGAGGGAAUUCCCAGUGUAGCGGUGAAAUGCGUAGAGAUUGGGAAGAACACCAGUGGCGAAGGCGGCUCUCUGGGCAGAUACUGACGCUGAGACGCGAAAGCAUGGGGAGCAAACAGG
rnacentral:rRNA from 1 species